rnacentral:rRNA from 1 species
UACGUAGGCACCAAGCGUUGUCCGGAUUUAUUGGGCGUAAAGGGCUCGUAGGCGGCCAACUAAGUCAGACGUGAAAUCCCUCAGCUUAACUGGGGAACUGCGUCUGAUACUGGAUGGCUUGGAUUCGGGAGAGGAAUGCGGAAUUCCAGGUGUAGCGGUGAAAUGCGUAGAUAUCUGGAGGAACACCGGUGGCGAAGGCGGCAUUCUGGACCGACAUUGACGCUGAGGAGCGAAAGCCAGGGGAGCAAACGGG